GCAGAAAAUUAAAAUUUUACCAACAAACCUUAAAGAAAAUUUUCACUAUAUAAAGUAUUUUUUAAAAAAUUCCUAAAUUAACCAACCGCAAGGAACAACAUUCAGCUUUCUCAAGAAAUGAUAACCUCAUGUCCCUCUUGCAUCAUGGAGAAGCAACAAAACUAUAAUAACUUAUAUUCCCGAAUGAUUAUGAGCUACUAAACCCUAAAAAUCAAUGUUUCAUAAUUGAUAUAGUAACUUUUAGUAGAAGUAACAAGCCUUUCAUAUAAUCAUAUAGCUGGUUUUUCUUCAAAAGCAUCAAAGUGCUGGCUUAUAGAGUAAGCCCAGAGCCUCUAACCUAUAAAGCUUAACCUAUUGAGGACUAGCUCAAUAGGGCAUAAAAAAUAUUUUAUCCCUAAUCCCCACAAGUAGGCUUAAAAGCAGCCACCUAAUAACGUUUUAGUUAUUGAGAAUUUAUAUUAAGUAUUAAUACAACACAAUUUUAAAACUAAAGAAAUUUAACAAAAAAUUUUCCUGUUACUAAACAGGCAUUCUAUUAGUAUUUAAUAUAAGUCUAUUACUCAACAUUCCUCAAAAAAUUUGAAUCAAAACACCACUUAUUACUUUAAGCACACAAAGCGAACUCGGCAAAUUAGUUCCCUGCCUGUUUACCAAAAACAUCGUCUUUUGAUAACACCCCCAUAAAAGAUAAUGCC
rnacentral:rRNA from 1 species